rnacentral:rRNA from 1 species
UACGUAGGGGGCAAGCGUUGUCCGGAAUUAUUGGGCGUAAAGAGCGUGUAGGCGGCCAGAUAAGUCCGCUGUGAAAUCUCGAGGCUCAACUUCGAGCUGUCGGUGGAAACUAUCUGGCUAGAGUCCGGAAGAGGAGAAUGGAAUUCCUGGUGUAGCGGUGGAAUGCGCAGAUAUCAGGAGGAACACCAACGGCGAAGGCAGCUCGCUGGGACGGUACUGACGCUGAGGCGCGAAAGCGUGGGGAGCGAACAGG